UACAGAGGGUGCGAGCGUUAAUCGGAAUUACUGGGCGUAAAGCGCGCGUAGGCGGCUUUGCAAGUCGGGUGUGAAAUCCCCAGGCUUAACCUGGGAACUGCAUUCGAGACUGCAUUGCUAGAGUAUGGGAGAGGGAAGUGGAAUUUCCGGUGUAGCGGUGAAAUGCGUAGAUAUCGGAAGGAACAUCAGUGGCGAAAGCGACUUCCUGGUCCAGCACCGACGUUCAGGCACGAAAGCGUGGGGAGCAAACAGG
rnacentral:rRNA from 1 species